CGCCAUAGUCCUCCUUUUCAUAUAAAUAUGAUUUUACAUAUAAAGCAUGCCUUGUAAGGUAUCGGAGGAAAGGUUAUGAUGUGCUGAAAGUCAUGUCUCUGUCCAUACAUGUGUAUCAUUAAUGAAUAUGGAAGGGGAGUACUUGUGGCACCUUAGAGACUA